AUGCUCAACGUCAAGUCCGAACCUGCAACUGCAAUGGAUGCAGUGGGUAAGUCGAAAAUCGAGGAGCAUGAACAGAAGGUAAACGGAUACCAAGCUGAACUUGCAGCCCGCAUUAAGGCCAAAUACUUCUCUAAUAAGGCUUUUGACGGAGGAAAAAUCUUUGAAGAAGAAACUAUUGUUGAAGGUGAAACCAUCCGUUCAAGUAGGUGGCCAUGUACAAGUUCGUACGCGGACCCGGUAAAUUUUCUCCGAGAGAAGAAUAGCCAUGAGAAGAGGGAUUCUCCAUCUGUGGUAGCUGAAGCUUCACCAAAGAAUAAUGAAGGUGUUUUGGCAACAGAAAACAAUCUAACACCUGGCAAGAGAGAGGCAUCAAAGGAGACCUGA
rnacentral:rRNA from 1 species